rnacentral:lncRNA from 1 species
UUCACUCUUUGGGAUUUUGCAUCGUUUAUUUGUAGCUUAAUGCCAGACCAGCUCUGAUUGGAUUUGUAUCAUUCUCUUCCACUUACGAUGGACGCUUAAAAGAUUCUUAAGUCAGCAAGAUUCACCAUGAUUAUCCAGCCAGUUAUUCAUCACAUGAUGCAGUUGUUGUUGGUGCUCGUGGAGCUGGAUUUUGUGCAGAUUUUUGUUGACUCGCAGGCAUCAUAAAUCUUCAAUAGGUGUUGUUCGAUGUAAGUGGCCAUUUUCUUAAAGCGGUUCUGCUUG